rnacentral:tRNA from 1 species
UGGGAUAGCUUAGUUGGUAGAGCAUGAGACUCUUAAUUUCAGGGUUGUGGGUUCGAGCCCCACAUUGGGCAAAA